rnacentral:rRNA from 1 species
UCAAUAAGCGGAGGAAAAGAAACCAACAGGGAUUGCCUCAGUAACGGCGAGUGAAGCGGCAACAGCUCAAAUUUGAAAUCUGGCGUCCGCCCGAGUUGUAAUUUGCAGAGGAUGCUUCGGGGCCGCGGCCGAUCUAAGUCCUUUGGAACAGGGCGUCAUAGAGGGUGAGAAUCCCGUAUGUGACCGGCUGGCACCCCACACGUAGCUCCUUCGACGAGUCGAGUUGUUUGGGAAUGCAGCUCUAAAUGGGAGGUAAAUUUCUUCUAAAGCUAAAUACCGGCCAGAGACCGAUAGCGCACAAGUAGAGUGAUCGAAAGAUGAAAAGCACUUUGGAAAGAGAGUCAAACAGCACGUGAAAUUGUUGAAAGGGAAGCGCAUGCAACCAGACUUGUCGGCGGUGUUCCCCCGGUCUUCUGACCGGGUCACUCGCCGCCGGCAGGCCAGCAUCGUUUGCGACCGCCGGAGAAAGGCGCGGGGAAUGUGGCUCCUCGGAGUGUUAUAGCCCCGCGCACAAUACGGUGCGUCGCGAGCGAGGUCCGCGCUUCGGCUAGGAUGCUGGCGUAAUGGUCGUAUGCGGCCCGUCUUGAAACACGGACCAAGGAGUCUACCAUCUAUGCGAGUGUUCGGGUGUCAAACCCCUACGCGCAAUGAAAGUGAACGGAGGUGGGAACGCAAGUGCACCAUCGACCGAUCCUGAUGUCUUCGGAUGGAUUUGAGUAAGAGCAUAGCUGGUGGGACCCGAAAGAUGGUGAUCUUUACUUGAAUAGGGUGAAGCCAGAGGAAACUCUGGUGGAGGCUCGCAGCGGUUCUGACGUGCAAAUCGAUCGUCAAAUUUGGGUAAAGGGGCGAAAGACUAAUCGAACCAUCUAGUAGCUGGUUCCUGC